AGGUGUGAUCAUACCAGCGUUAAUGCAUCGAAUCCCAUCAGAACUCAGUAGUUAAGCAUGCUUGGGCUAGAGUAGAACU
rfam:Picea glauca, whole genome shotgun sequence.